CCUUAAGAUAGAAGAGGAGAAGGGUUAUAGGAGAAAGGGACUUGCCUUGUCUCAGGUAAGAUGAGACUUGCUCCUCCUUGCCUUUCACCAUGAUUGUGAGGUCACACCAGCCACAUGGAACUACAAACUGUCAGCAGUGUUUCCAUCUACACGAGUUAUUAAAAUAAAUGCUUUGGGCCAGGUGCAGUGACUGAUGCCUAUAAUCCCAGCAGUUAAGUCGGAGUAUCACUUGAGGCCAGGAGUUCAAGACCAGCCUGGGCAACAUAGUGAGAUCAUGUCUUUAAUAAAAAUAAAAAGAUUAGCCAGGCAUAGUGGUACAUGCCUAUAAUUCUAGCUACUUGAAAGGCUAAUAUGAGAGGAUCCCUUCACCAAAGUUUGAGGCUGCAGUAAGCUACGAUCAUGCCACUCCACUCCAGCCUGAACAACAGAGUGAGAUGCUGUAUAAAACAACAACAAUAACAAAAACCAGAAAAUGACAAAAAAAAAAAAAAAAAAGAGAGAGAGAGAGAGAGAGAGAAACACUUUACUCAGAUUCCUGAGCAGAAUUCAGGAAAACACUCUCAACAGAGACUUCAUGACUAAAACACCAAAAGCAUUGGCAAAAAAAGCCAAAAUAGACAAAUGGGACCUAAUUCAACUCCAGAGCUUCUGUACAGCAAAAGAAACAAUCAUUAGAGUGAACCAGCAACCAACAGGAUGGGAAAACCUUUUUGCAAUCUACCCAUCUGCCCAAGGGCUAAUAUCCAGAAUCUACAAAGAACUAAAACAGAUUUACAAGAAAGAAAACAAACAAGCCCAUCCAAAAGUGGACAAAGGAUAUGAACAGACACUUUUCAAAAGAAGACAUAUAUGAGGCCAACAAGCAUAUGAAAAAAUGCUCAUCAUCACUGGCCAUUAGAGAAAUGCAAAUCAAAACCACAUUGAGAUACCACCUCACUCCAGUUAGAAUGGUGAUCAUUAAAAAAUCUGGAGACAACAGAUGCUGGAGAGGAUGUGGAGAAAUAGGAACACCUUUACCCUGUUGGUGGGAGUGUAAAUUGGUUCAACCAUUGUGGAAGACAGUGUGGCACUUCCUCAAGGACCUAGAAAAAAAUCCAUUUGACCCAGCAAUCCCAUUACUGGAUAUAUAUAUCCAAGGGAUUAUAAAUCAUUCUAUUAUAAAGACACAUGCACACGUAUGUUCACAGUGACACUGUUUACAAUAGCAAAGACCUGGAACCAACCCAAAUGCCCAUUGACAAUAGACUGGACAAGAAAAAUGUGGCACAUAUACACCAUGGAAUACUAUGCGGCCAUAAAAAAUGAUGAGUUUGUGUCCUUUGUAGGGACAUGGAUGAAUCUGGAAACCAUAAUUCUCAGCAAACUAACACAAGAACAGAAAAUCAAACACCACAUGUUCUUACUCAGAAGUGGAUGCUGAACAAUGAGAACACAUGGACACAGGGAAGAGAGCAUCACACACUGGAGUCUGUUGA